AUGGCUGUCGUCAGCUCGUGCCGUGAGGUGUAGGGUUAAGUCCUGAAACGAGCGCAACCCUCGGCGUUAGUUAGAUAGUCUAACGCGACUGCCCGCGACAAGCGGGAGGAAGGCGGGGAUGACGUCAAGUCAGCAUGGCCUUUAUGUCCAGGGCGACACACACGCUACAAUGGUCGGUACAGUCGGUUGCCAACCCGCAAGGGGGAGCCAAUCCACAAAGCCGGCCUCAGUUCAGAUUGUGGGCUGCAACCCGCCCACAUGAAGUCGGAGUUGCUAGUAACCGCGCGUCAGCAUAGUGCGGUGAAUACGUUCCCGGGCCUUGUACACACCGCCCGUCACGUCAUGGGAGCUGGUUACGCCUGAAGCCGGUGAGCCAACCGCAAGGAGGCAGCCGUCCAAGGCAGAAUCGGUGACUGGGACGAAGUCGUAACAAGGUAGCAGUAGCGGAAGCUGCGGCUGGAUCACCUCCUUUCUAGAGAGACACCGUGACGAAAGGGUGAAAGCGACGCGCAAGCGUUGGAGUAACCCCCAGGCACCAGUCCUCACACAAGGUUUUCUGUACCCUGGUUUCUUUGUCUUGCUUGUCACUCCGCAGUCGUGAAGGGUGCACCUUCACAAGAGAAUAAGAAGAGCGCGAGGUAGCGAGAAACGCAGAAAACAGCGAGUUCUCAGUAGAAUAGGUUCUCAGAGAGAAGCUACAAGAGCGCAGAGGGAAUGACUUGGCGAUAAGUGCCGACGAAGGACGCGGUACACUGCGAAAAGCUCCGGCAAGGUGUGUGCAACCGUAACAACCGGAGAUGUCCGAAUGGGGAAACCCGG
rnacentral:sRNA from 1 species